CGGAACACGUACGCAAUCUUCCUUUAACUGGAGAAUAGCCCCUCGAAAGAGGGAUUAAUACUCCGUAACAUAUACAUGUGGCAUCACAAGUAUAUUAUAGCUCCGGCGGUUAAAGAUGGGCGUGCGCCUGAUUAGAUAGUUGGCGGGUAACGGCCCACCAAGUCUGCGAUCAGUAACUGGUGUGAGAGCACGACCAGUCACACGGGCACUGAGACACGGGCCCG
rnacentral:rRNA from 1 species